rnacentral:rRNA from 1 species
AGAGCGAACGCUGGCGGCAGGCUUAACACAUGCAAGUCGAGCGGGCGUAGCAAUACGUCAGCGGCAGACGGGUGAGUAACGCGUGGGAACAUACCUUUUGGUUCGGAACAACACAGGGAAACUUGUGCUAAUACCGAAUAAGCCCUUACGGGGAAAGAUUUAUCGCCGAAAGAUUGGCCCGCGUCUGAUUAGCUUGUUGGUGAGGUAACGGCUCACCAAGGCGACGAUCAGUAGCUGGUCUGAGAGGAUGAUCAGCCACAUUGGGACUGAGACACGGCCCAAAACUCCUACGGGAGGCAGCAGUGGGGAAUAUUGGACAAUGGGCGCAAGCCUGAUCCAGCCAUGCCGCGUGAGUGAUGAAGGCCCUAGGGUUGUAAAGCUCUUUUGUGCGGGAAGAUAAUGACGGUACGCAAGAAUAAGCCCCGGCUAACUUCGCGCCAGCAGCCGC